rnacentral:misc_RNA from 1 species
AAAGUCGUAACAAGGUUUCCGUAGGUGAACCUGCGGAAGGAUCAUUACCGAUUUUAGCGAACCUGGCCUUUGGUCAUGGUCUCGCGAAAAACUUGUAUUUAAAACCCCACCCUUAUAAAACGAAAUAUUUUGUAUAUGUAAUAAAAUAAGAUCACUUUCAACAACGGAUCUCUUGGCUCUC